rnacentral:rRNA from 1 species
GACGAACGCUGGCGGCGUGCUUAACACAUGCAAGUCGAACGGAAAGGCCCUGCUUUUGUGGGGUGCUCGAGUGGCGAACGGGUGAGUAACACGUGAGUAACCUGCCCUGGACUUUGGGAUAACUUCAGGAAACUGGGGCUAAUACCGGAUAGGAGCGCCUGCUGCAUGCUGGGGGUUGGAAAGUUUCGGCGGUUGGGGAUGGACUCGCGGCUUAUCAGCUUGUUGGUGGGGUAGUGGCUUACCAAGGCUUUGGUGGGUAGCCGGCCUGAGAGGGUGACCGGCCACAUUGGGACUGAGAUACGGCCCAGACUCCUACGGGAGGCAGCAGUGGGGAAUAUUGCACAAUGGGCGGAAGCCUGAUGCAGCAACGCCGCGUGCGGGAUGACGGCCUUCGGGUUGUAAACCGCUUUCGCCUGUGACGAAGCGUGAGUGACGGUAAUGGGUAAAGAAGCACCGGCUAACUACGUG